CGUCUGCUGAAGGGCACAUUUCGUCUUGACCCUCCCAACAGUCACUCCCACCCAAGGCCACUGACUCAGGCUUCUCCUGGGUUCCUUUUUUCACCAGGCACUUCGUCUCUAUAUAUGGUAAUAGUGCUCACACGGAUCAGCCGCUCGCCUUGCUAGGAAGGCUGGCAAGUGAAAUCACGCGGAGAAAAGCUGACACUACCGUGGGCCAGGGUCGUUUGUCUUCCGGUAACGAAUCCAGGAUGAAGAAGUAGCCACUGCAUGAAACUUGAUGGUCUCAGGGUGAAGGUUUGAACAUCGUGGGAACAUGCAAUGCCUCUGAAAACCUCAGCUCAGAAUCUGAGGAGGACUCCUGCAGGCCAGGGCACUGCUGCAUGAGAGGCCUCUAGCAGGUUCCAUCACUGCCUCUCAGGAUCACUCUCAUCCUCUCAGGGAAGGUUAGGAAGAGUUAACAGAAGAACCGUAAGUGUACCAGACUGGGGAUGAGGCUCACCGGGACUAGGGACAGCUAAUGAUGAUACCAAAAUCACGAGGGAGCCGUGUUGAAUUCUCAGGACUUUGUGUAGAUUCAGAAGUACCUUAAGCGGGGCGCC